rnacentral:rRNA from 1 species
GAGGAAUAUUGGGCAAUGCCCGCAAGGGUGACCCAGCAACGCCGCGUGGAGGAUGAAUGUCGUAAGAUUGUAAACUCCUGUUAGAGGGGAAGAAUAGUACCGGUUGGACCGGUAUAUGACUGUACCCUCAGAGAAAGCCCCGGCUAACUACGUGCCAGCAGCCGCGGUAAUACGUAGGGGGCAAGCGUUGUCCGGAUUUACUGGGUGUAAAGGGCGCGCAGGCGGGAUAAAAAGUCAGUGGUGAAAUCCUACAGCUUAACUGUAGAACUGCCUUUGAUACUUUUAUUCUUGAGUUCGGGAGAGAGAGACGGAAUUCCAGGUGUAGUGGUGAAAUACGUAGAUAUCUGGAAGAACACCAGUUGCGAAGGCGGUCUCUUGGUCCGACACUGAUGCUGAGGCGCGAAAGCGUGGGGAGCAAACA